rnacentral:rRNA from 1 species
UACGUAGGGCGCAAGCGUUGUCCGGAUUCAUUGGGCGUAAAGAGCGUGUAGGCUGUUCGGUAAGUCUGCCGUGAAAACCUGAGGCUCAACCUCGGGCGUGCGGUGGAUACUGCCGGGCUAGAGGACGGUAGAGGCGAGUGGAAUUCCAGGUGUAGCGGUGAAAUGCACAGAUAUCUGGAGGAACACCAGCGGCGAAGGCGGCGAUCUGGGCCUGUACUGACACUGAGGAGCGAAAGCGUGGGGAGCGAACAGG